AGAGUGAACGCUGGCGGUAGGCCUAACACAUGCAAGUCGAACGGCAGCACAGGAGAGCUUGCUCUCUGGGUGGCGAGUGGCGGACGGGUGAGGAAUACAUCGGAAUCUACCUUUUCGUGGGGGAUAACGUAGGGAAACUUACGCUAAUACCGCAUAAGACCUUCGGGUGAAAGCCGGGGACCUUCGGGCCUGGCGCGGAUAGAUGAGCCGAUGUCGGAUUAGCUUGUUGGCGGGGUAAAAGCCCACCAAGGCGACGAUCCGUAGCUGGUCUGAGAGGAUGAUCAGCCACACUGGAACUGAGACACGGUCCAGACUCCGUACGGGGAGCAG
rnacentral:rRNA from 1 species